AUUGAACGCUGGCGGCAGGCCUAACACAUGCAAGUCGAGCGGAUGAGGGUAGCUUGCUAUCUGAUUCAGCGGCGGACGGGUGAGUAAUGCCUAGGAAUCUGCCUGGUAGUGGGGGACAACGUUUCGAAAGGAACGCUAAUACCGCAUACGUCCUACGGGAGAAAGUGGGGGAUCUUCGGACCUCACGCUAUCAGAUGAGCCUAGGUACGAUUAGCUAGUUGGUGAGGUAAAGGCUCACCAAGGCGACGAUCGUUAACUGGUCUGAGAGGAGGAUCAGUACCACUGGAACGGAGACACGGUCCAGACGCCUACGGGAGGCAGCAGUGGGGAAUAUUGGAAAAUGGGCGAAAGCCUGAUCCAGCCAUGCCGCGUGUGUGAAGAAGGUCUUCGGAUUGUAAAGCACUUUAAGUUGGGAGGAAGGGCAGUAAGUUAAUACCUUGCUGUUUUGACGUUACCGACAGAAUAAGCACCGGCUAACUUCGUGCCAGCAGCCGCCGUAAAAC
rnacentral:rRNA from 1 species